GCUAAGCAGACUCAGUCCCCAAAGCCAGGUGAAAGAAGGGGACGAGGUAGGGCUGGAUGCCCCAUCUGACUGCAGUGGCCCUGAAAGAAGCCGCAGCAGCGAGAAAAGCAGGGGAAGCAGACAUUUACCUGACACUAGAGCUGCCCCACUGCUGCCCAGUGAGUAAUGAGCUUUUACAAUAAGCAAUACAAGACUAAGGCCUUUGGCUUGUUGGCUGAAACAGUUAAAUCAUAAGCCAGUGACUGCUACUAGCUUUCCUACAACUCCAGGAAUAGAGCAGCAGGUCCGGGAUCUGUGAAAGCAGCAGAUAGAUCUAGUGAAAGCUCCCUGUUUGCAAAUGUACUGAAAGGGCUCGGUACCUGUUGCUGCUGGAAGAGGAGGGAGGGGCUGAGAUCCCCUUCCAGUGCACUCCUUUGAGAGAGGCCUGGUUGCUGCUCUGCCACAAAGGGGACUGGUAGAAUCAAACCA